UACGAAUGGGCCAAGCGUUGUUCGGAAUCACUGGGCAUAAAGCGCAUGUAGGCGGCGCGGUAAGUUCGAUGUGAAAGCCCCUGGCUCAACCAGGGAAUUGCAUUGGAAACUGCCGUGCUAGAGGACGGGAGAGGAGAGUGGAACUCCUAGUGGAGCGGUGAAAUGCGUAGAUAUUAGGAGGAACGCCGGUGGCGAAAGCGACUCUCUGGUCCGUACCUGACGCUGAGAUGCGAAAGCUAGGGGAGCGAACGGG
rnacentral:misc_RNA from 1 species